AUUUCUAAAAUAACCCUAACCCGCUUUCUUUGAUUCUCCCUCAACCGAUCCCAAAUCCCUACCCUCAGUCGCCGUACCAUCACCUCUAACAGUGGCCGACGGUGAGUAAAUCUUCCCUUUCUAACCUCCUUUAGAAAAACAUUUAAGAAUCUAACACCUUCAACCAUAAAGAAUCAAAAGAACGUCUCAACCUUGGUUGGAUUCGAUUUUAACGCAGGAGAAACUCCGACGAUAUUCCAACGAUUCAAGUGAGCCCUUAUCCUUUAUCCUCUUCGUUUUAUUUGUAGUAGAUGCAAAAAUGCAAGUAAAAAAAUCGACGAAAAAAACAAUCGGAAUAUAAUAAAUUACAUUCUCCUCUUUUGGUUGUUUUUUUGAUUUUCUAUUCAACCUUACUCCCUUUUUACUUAUUUUUUACAUGCAUUGAAAAAAGAUUGAGGAAAUAGAAAUGAAUAAUCGAAGAAGAAUGUAAAGUAGAAUCACCUUAAAAAUUGAUUUCAAAUUCUUCUCUCUUUUCAAUAUGCGUGUGUAUUUCUAUGGAAAAAAAAGAUACAAUUUUACAUUAUUUUCAUUCGGUUUUAUAGCCGAAAAAAUAAAAUAAAUAAAUAAAAAGAAAAUACAAAUUUUUCAUUGCUAUCAUUUGCUGUCCAUUGCUCUGUUGUUUGUUAGUCUGUUGCAAGUGUGCAUGGUGUGGAGAAGCCGUUCAUGGGCGUGGAGCGUGGCGCGUGUGGAAGCCGUUGUGAAGCAUGGAGGCUGGAGGCUGCGGCACGAGGCUACUGGCUCUUAGGGUUUGCUGAGUGAUUCUUUGUUUUGGGCUGGGACUUUGGGUUUAAUGUUGGGCUAAUAAAUGUAAAUGGACUGAUGUUUUAUUUUUGUUUUGGGCUAUUAAAUGUGGGUGUAAAAGGACUUUGGACCUUUAAAUUAUUUUGGUUUUAUUUUUUUGGUUUUGGUUUUGGUGUAAGCCCGGGCGAAAUGGGCUUAUUACAGUCUCUUAACCUCUGAACUUCAACUUGAGCUUGAUUCCCCGAAGGCAUGUAUUGCUGCAAGCUGGAUCCAAAAUAUUGGGUUAGGUUAACAAAAGAUCAUUGAAAUCGAACCCGACCAUACCUUUCAGGACUCAAAACUUCAAUAAUAAUUCGAUUAUCAAUGUUGUUAAGAUUCACAAAACUAUCAUUUGAAGCAAUCGCUUCAUACUCCACCCUUUUAUCCAUUAGUUUCUCCUAAUAAAUCAAUCAAAGAGUUAGAAAUGAAAUAUAUAAUAAAAACAAAUGCAACAUAACUUAACAUUAUUUGCAUUACAAACGAAGAAUUAAACCAUUAUAAUUAAACAUGAUAAAU
rnacentral:lncRNA from 1 species